CGAAUUUUCCAAGGAAGGGAGUGAGCUGAUUUUGUUGUUUUUAGAAGGUUAUUGGCUGAUAUUUAAUGGUUAGAAAUGUUGGAGAGAGAAUGGGAUGAUUUAGAGCUAAAAUGGAGCGCGUUAGCAAUUUAUCGGGCAAAGUGCCAAAAAUAGGUUAAUAUCGCGUUUAAGCCGUUUUAGGCUAUUGCAUUUCAUACCAUGCAUUAGUAUAGGAUUUAAGUUAAUUAUAUAGUGAUUUAGCAUCAAUGU
rnacentral:lncRNA from 1 species